GAUGAAGAACGUAGUGAAAUGCGAUAAGUAGUGUGAAUUGCAGAAUUCAGUGAAUCAUCGAAUCUUUGAACGCACAUUGCGCCUCCUGGUAUUCCGGGAGGCAUGCCUGUUCGAGCGUCAUUAAAAUCACUCAAGCUUAGGUUUACCUAUUGCUUGGUCUUGGAGAUGGAAGCCAAUUUAUUGGAAUCCUCUUCGAAAUUCAAUGGCGAAGACCCUUGCUCUCCCAAGUGUAGUAAUAACUUAUGUCACUGAAGGAAGCGAGAAAUCUUCUGCCGUAACCCCCAUAGUUUCUAUGAUUGACCUCGGAUCAGGUAGGGAUACCCGCUGAACUUAAGCAUAUCAAUAGCGGAGGA
rnacentral:misc_RNA from 1 species